CUCUUACAAAUAUUUUUGGAUCUCGUAUAUGCUUGAUAUACGGACGUAUAUACGGUAUGUACGGUAUACAUACGUAUAUACGGUCUGUACGGUAUGUAUACUUAUAUACAGUUGUACAGUAUGCAUACGUAUAUACGGUCUGUACGGUAUGCAUACGAAUAUACAGUUGUACGGUAUGCAUACGUAUAUACGAUCUGUACGGUAUGCAUACGUAUAUACGGUAUGUACAAUUUCAUACCGUAGCCGAGCUGGAAGUUGGUGGGCCGAUUGGUAGGCCCAAAUAGUAAGCCCAAAUAGUAAGCCCAAAUGGUAGGCCCAAAUGGUAAGCCCAAUUGUUCGGCCCGAAUGGUAGGCCCAAAUGUUAAACCCAAAUUGGUUCGAGCCGGUUCUAAAUGUGGAUGGUUCGGUUUCUUCGGCCCAAUUGGCCAGCCCUAAUGCUUAGCCCAAGGAUUGAGCAAGCCCAAGUCAUCAUCACUGGGUGACAUGUUUUAUUGGCGUGCUUUUGAGAAUGAUUUGUUUUGAGUGAUGCUAAUUGAGAAGCGAAACGCUUUGUGGGAGUGUUUACUGUGCUUGUAUGCCAGUACAGGAUGACGAUCUGUGUGAAAACAGCUAUAUGUGCAAUGCCACGUGGUGAUUUGAGUGUGGGUUGCUUGAGGCAAUUGUUGUGUUGUAAUUUUGAGAAAUGAUGCGGUGAAGGAAUGUCAUGUUGAUGACUUAAGUGGGGAUGAGGAUUUCAUUUGUGAAUUCUCGUUGUGUGAGUUUACGUUUGUGAUGAAAGGAUUUAGUGGCCAUAGGAAUGUAUUUUUAUACAAAGGGCUGUGGUUUUGUAGAUUACUACAGUUUUGGGAAAGAUGGAGAUUCGAUGGUUAGGUUAACUGUAAUCGAGAGCAAUUAACUUGCGCUUAAAUUUCGGGACGAAAUUUCUUUAAGGAGGGUAGAUUGUAAUAACCUAGUUUUUUUUAAUCAAACAAUUUGGUGGCAAACACCGGUUCCGUGAUUUAAGGUUAGUGGACAAUUGCAUAAUUUGAAGGCCGGUGCUUUAACAUGAUUAUGCAUGAGUGGAAGAACGAAUCAAUUAAGCUAAGAAACGAAUUCUCUCUCUCUCACGUCCGAAACCACCCAAAACAGAGCAAAACUUCUCCAAACUCUCUCUCACUCCACCGGCCACCAAUCAAGACCAGAACACUUCCUAUAGCUUCGCCUCGACCUUGCGCAGCUGCAGGUGGCAGCCUUGAACCACGACACGGCCACCAGCGGCGGCGGGAAGCUCCGCCCGGUUUGAGCUCGUUUUGGUUCCAAGCUUGAUAUCUCAAGCUACCGGCCAACAAUCCUCACCAAACUUCACCCACGAGCUCGCCUCAACGUCCUGAAGCUCCCAGAAGUGGCCUUGCACGGCGGCGCUACUCGUGGUGGCGGCUGGAAGCCAGACCCGAUCAAAUCGAAAACCGAAGCUUCGAUCGGUAUAUCUCGAGCUGUAGUGCAUCGUUUUGAUUGAUUCUUUUUCCAGUGGGUUCCCCUUGAUGUUGUUAACAACUCUCUAGAAGGCAUCGAGGCCUGAAAUUGAAGUUUUUACGUCGAUCGGAGCCCUCGCCGGAUUCUGCAAAAUUCUGCAAAUUUUCCGACCACCGAAGCUUUCGAUCGGUAUAUCUCGAGCUACAGACCAUAUUUUUCUGUGAUUCUUGAACCAAUGCGUUCGUCUUGAGUUUCUUAACAACUCUCUAGAAGGAAUCGAAGCCUGAAAUUGAAGUUUUGACGUCGAAAUCAAGCCUUGCCGGAUUCUGCAAAUUUCGCCGGAUUCUGGAAAUUUUCCGGCCACCUCGACUGUUCUAGGUUAUUGACGGUUUGAGUUGGUGGACGAUUGUGGAUCGUAUUUUGAGCUGAAUUGAAGACGCAGCGGGAUUAUCGAGCGGGAAAUCCUACAGGUCAGGAGAACCAGGACGGUGAUCGGGCUGCUUAGAGUAGUGUUAUGUGAAUUACAGCAUUAUAUUGUGAGGUUUGUUAUGCUCAUUUAGAGCUUUGCAAUUUUACUUUGUAAGAGUGAAUUGUAAUAAUUAACUCGAGGUUUUCGAGUUUUUGUGUUGAGUGGCGAGUGGUAUGUUUGUUUGUGAGAAAAAAAUUCAGAACGUUAUUUGUAUUAAUUGUUUAUUCAUGUUUCGGAUUUGAAUUGGUUAUUCAAAAUUCGGGGCGUG